rnacentral:rRNA from 1 species
GAUGAACGCUAGCUACAGGCUUAACACAUGCAAGUCGAGGGGAAACGAUAUUGGAAGCUUGCUUCCGAUAGGCAUCGACCGGCGCACGGGUGAGUAACGCGUAUCCAACCUGCCCACACUUGGGGAUAACCUUGCGAAAGUAAGACUAAUACCCAAUGACGUCCAUAGAAGACAUCUGAAAUGGAUUAAAGAUUUAUCGGUGAUGGAUGGGGAUGCGUCUGAUUAGCUUGUUGGCGGGGUAACGGCCCACCAAGGCGACGAUCAGUAGGGGUUCUGAGAGGAAGGUCCCCAACAUUGGAACUGAGACACGGUCCAAACUCCUACGGGAGGCAGCAGUGAGGAAUAUUGGUCAAUGGGCGAGAGCCUGAACCAGCCAAGUAGCGUGCAGGAUGACGGCCCUAUGGGUUGUAAACUGCUUUUAUAAGGGAAUAAAGUGAGUCUCGUGAGACUUUUUGCAUGUACCUUAUGAAUAAGGACCGGCUAAUUCCGUGCCAGCCGCCGCCGUAA